CCGUCUCCCUUCUCCUUCUUUCUCUUGUUCAAAUAGUGAAAAAUCUUCUUCUAUUAAUAUUAAAGCUGUUUCUAUGAAAAGAAUGCGUGAGCAUGAAGAAGAUCUUGAUAAUCAGGUUUGUUAAUACCCUUAUUAAUUUGAUGAAAUAUGAUUCAUUUGUUUUUUUUAUAAAGUUCUUUAUCUAACGGUUGAGAUUUUUUGUAGGAUUAUAAAUGUUGUUCUUCGUCUUCUUCGGGGAAUAAAGAAGAAGAGGUGACUUCUUUAGACUGUUUGAGGCCUUUGAAACAACGAAAAAUAGAUGAAGAAGAGUUGAUUCUAUCUGGAGUAAACGAGUCGGAAUCAGAUCUACUUGUUCAAUCGCUCAAAAAAUUUCAUCAGAAAAUGUUAUUGGUGCAAUAAUUAGCACAAAUCUAAUUAACCUGAUAAUUAAAAUGUAAUCUAUCCACUAUCAGUUUAUCAGUGUAGAAUCUGAUUUUUUUUUUGUAAGAAUCAGAUCUACUUUCUUUGCUGCUGCUGCUGCUUCUUCUUCUUCACAAUCAUCUAUUUUUGUAAUGAAUUAAAUUACGAUAAUCUGAUUAGUGUAAUUAAUUUAUUUAGUUAUGGGUAAGGAAG
rnacentral:lncRNA from 1 species